UGUGCAUUUUCUGCUAAUUUAUCUGUCCCGUUUCCAACAGAAAAUUCUAGAUCUUCUGUUUUCAUUCCGAUUUCAGCAGAAGUCACUUCUGACUUAUGUUUUACUUCUAUAAAUUCAAUAAAAAUAGUUUCUCACACUAUUUUUAUUUAUUUUUUUAUUUUUAUACCAAAAUCUGGUAUGUUACAUUCUCUACGCCUUAAAAGAAUUUCGUCCGCAAAAUUCAAACCACGCCUCAAUUCAGCUCCAUGAGCAAUUGAGGGUACCAACUCAUUCUCCCACUCCAAAGCG
rnacentral:lncRNA from 1 species